CUUAUGUAAAUCGCACUAUCACUCAUUAUAGGGCUUCUCAGCACCCACAACAUGGGCUAACCCGUUUUUAACCUGCAAGGGGAGCCAAAUCCUGGACAUGCUGUGCCUCUGGACCCUUCCGGAAGCGCCGAUCUGGCCCACACCGCUUCCCUGAGCCCUCAGUCCAGCCAACAGCUGAAGGCGGCCAAGGCUGAGCAUUUUACUGGACACAGCCUGUCCCUUCCACUCAGGUAAGAAAUGCACCUGGAGAUACGACAGUUCUUUCAGCGACUUUGGACUGGCCCCCAGACAGUUCCUCCUUGAGAAGAGGCCCGCAGGCGACUUGAUCUCUCUGGUUUGUACCUCUCUCUGCAGACGAACCACCUGCAAGUUCCCCAGGAGCCGGGGGGGAAGGGGUGUUUGGGCUCCCCGCCCUCUGCAUCCCAUCCCACAGGGUCCGGGUCCCCUCGAGCCGCCGCCAUCAGUGUUGCAGGCUUUCUCCUGACUUCUUUGCCUUCCCCAGUCCUCUCUAGGUGUUGGGGCACUUUUCUCCUCCUUCUCCUCUUAACCUGCCCCUUUUCAGGGGAUGGGGUGGAGGGAGGUAAGGGGUGAUGAAAUUUUAAAAUCCUGGUGAUCAUUCAUUUCUAAUCGUCCUAUUUAUCUCAAAGAUCCUCAGGCACACAGCAUACCUCGUGGUCUACCAAAAACACUGGAAGUGAGCCGAGCCCACCCUUCAACCAUUGCUACUCAAUCAAUAAUGGUGAUUAUUCUGCAGUUGCAAACAGAUCAAAUCCUAAGCAUUUCUUUCCUCCUUGAGUUCAUAUUCAACCAAGGGGCUCUUAACAGGACAUGGCAUGUGUGUAGUGACUGCUGGCUUUGUUUUAUUAGCUAUUUUUAUAUCAUCAUACUCUACACUUAACAUUUUUCACUAUUUAACAGUCUCUGGAAUUAUUCAAAUUUUCAAUGAACAGAAUUAUACCAUGAAUGUGGAAUGAGGAGAUAAGUAAGCAGCACGACCUGCCAAGUUAGGAAGGUCACCACAGCAAUGGGAAAGUGAGGAGGAAAGAGAACCAUCCAGCUAUAGAACGACAGAUAGAGAUUCUCCUCUCGGAGUUCCCGUCAUGGCUCAGUGGUUAAUGAAUCCGACUAGGAGCCAUGAGGUUGCAGAUUCAAUCCCCGGCCUCGAUCAGUGGGUUGAGGAUCCAGCAUGGCUGUGAGCUGUGGUGUAGGUUGCAGACGAAGCUGCUGUGGCUCUGGCGUAGGCUAUAGCUCCGAAUGGACCCCUGGCCUGGGAACUUCCAUAUGCCAUGGGUACCGUCCGAGAAAAGGCAAAAAAAAAAGAGAAAGAGAGAGAUUCUCCUCUCACAGCCAUCGAUGCUGACUCAGAGGGCUCCCAUUCUGUAAUCAUCCAGUGAGACUUUUCCUCCUACACACGAGUGGUUCCCAAAUUUUAGCACAGCUCAGAAUCCCUGGGAAUCCCUCAGAGCUCUUGUUAAGUAAGAAUGCCAGCUCCACCCUCUUUAGUUUCUGAAUUAGAUUGGGGUAGAGCCAGAUAAUUUGCAUUUUUAACAAAUUGUGGAUGCUGCUGCUGCUAUUGGUGUAGGGACCACACAUUGGGAACCACUGCCCUGCACAUGAACUUAGAACCUGGCAUUUAAACAUUCAUUUUGCUCAGAUCAGGUCCUGGGUCCAGCUUGUCAACAUCAGUCAAGGACCUGUCAUUCACUGCAUUAGCUUUGCAGCAUCCUUGCAUCUGAGAGGCAUGUCCUUAUACAGGUCACUCAUGCAAACGUGGACUGGGCUGGCUGGGGACAACACCCAAGUCAGGUUAAGUAAACUCCUAGCUCUUAGGUUCACCUCAAUCCAUUAUAAUUACAGCAGGAGUUCUCAAUCCUGAUUAAGCUUUAAAAUCACAAGGGAACUUAAAAAAAAAAAAAAAAAACUUAAAAAAAUCUCACCAGGUGAUUCUAGGGCUGAGAACCACCAUUUAAGGGUCUAUACUGGUCUAACCUUAAUGAAUCAACCCAAAUGAAUUGUCCUGCCCAUGUAAUUUAAGUUGUUGUGAGAGACGUUGUCAAAAGCUUUGCUGACACAGGGGGUAUAUUGAUCAUUGCACUUUCAAAACCAUGAAACUGUACUGGCCUAGCAUGACAUGGUUCUAGGAAACUGUUCUAAUUUUAAAGAUCACCUUUUAAAAAUGUUUCCAGUCUGUCAAGGAAUGUUGCCUGGGGUUGAUUUCAAGCUCACAGAAUUGGAUCCUUUUAGUUUGUAUAAUCCCAAUGUAAUGAUAGCUAACAUUUUUUGCUAAUUUUGUCUCAGCCAGUGUUCAGUGCUCUUCAUAAAUAUUCAAAUAAUCCUACAAAACAGUUAUUGUCCUUUCCUUUUUUUAAUUUUUUAUUUUUUAGGGCUGCACCCACCGCAUGUGAAAGUUCCCAGGCUAGGGGUCGAAUUGGAGCUGUAGCCACCGACCUACACAGCAGCCACAGCAACGCGGGAUCCGAGCCAAAUCUACAACCUACACCACAGCUCACGGCAACGCCGGAUCCCUGACCCACUGAGCAAGGCCAGGGAUCGAACCCGAAUUCUCAUGGUACUAGUCGGGUUUGUUUCCUCUGUACCACAACAAGAACUCUCCAUCCUUUCCAUCUUACAGAUGCAACAUCACGGUUGGCUUCUAGCUGACUCCAGGGCCCAUGCUUUUAACCACCAGUAGUUGCUUCUCAUUUGUAACUGCCAGGCUCCACCUUGUUCUUCAAAUAUUUAAUGACGUCUUACAAGGACGUUAAAGAUAUGAGAACACAUGAAAUAACUGGGAUAAAGACAGAAGACAGAGAGAGUCAAAAAUGGGUCAUGGGUCAGAACAGAAGGCCUGCACAUUUGCUAACUGAAGGGUCACUGAUUUGGCCUGGAGUGUUCUGGAAAUGUCAAAUCAAAACAGGACCCCACGUUCAGUUGCACAGUUGACACUGAACACAAACAUUGCUCAGGAGAAGUACCUGGAAAGUCCUGGGGCCUCUUCAAGAGGACACUGAGGAUUACAGGAAAGUCUACGAGGACACCCUCAUAAUCCACGCAGACAAGAGCGUCCCAGGACUCAAUGAACCGUAAUUCACAUCAUCCACUUCCCCAU
rnacentral:lncRNA from 1 species